rnacentral:hammerhead_ribozyme from 1 species
AUCCAGAUGAAGAGUCCCGGAUAGGACGAAACGCGCAUCCUGGAU